CUACGACUAGCCGAGAUGUUGGGGCGACCACUCCAACGGGUAGCCAGUAGAAUCCAGGCCGGUUAAUAGGAGACGGAAUAAAACGGCCGGGUGGCCCACCCUCCGUCCCACGGAGAAACCCAUCGAUUACUAAGCGUAUAGAAAACACAAUUUGGACGGAUGCGAGAGCGGGAGAAAAUCCGUUUCUCCGGCUGCCGCUCCAUCAGCCGUAGGGAAGAGGAAGGAAGGGUCGAAGUCCGAGGGGUCUCGGGCGGAGCCCCCUGGCCGGGCGAGGUCGACCGGUGGUCGAUGGAUCGACUAAUAAAAGUCGAAAUCGGAACGCGUCCAAGGUCACCGCCAACCGCUAAGCCGGCGCCUAUAUAAAGGCCAGCGGGACCGGCACCGGCGCUACCGUCGUCCGGAAAUGAACAGAUUGGU
rnacentral:lncRNA from 1 species